rnacentral:rRNA from 1 species
AGGGUUCGAUCAUGGCUCAGAACGAACGCUGGCGGCAUGCCUAACACAUGCAAGUCGAACGAGAAGCUAUCUUCGGGUAGUGGAAAGUGGCGCACGGGUGAGUAACGCGUGGGAACCUGCCCUGAGGUUCGGAAUAACGAUUGGAAACGGUCGCUAAUACCGGAUGAGCCCUGAGGGGGAAAGAUUUAUCGCCUUGGGAGGGGCCCGCGUCCGAUUAGCUUGUUGGUGUGGUAACGGCGCACCAAGGCUUCGAUCGGUAGCUGGCCUGAGAGGAUGAUCAGCCACACUGGGACUGAGACACGGCCCAGACUCCUACGGGAGGCAGCAGUGGGGAAUAUUGGACAAUGGGGGCAACCCUGAUCCAGCAAUGCCGCGUGUGUGAAGAAGGCCUUAGGGUUGUAAAGCACUUUCAGUCGUGACGAUGAUGACGGUGACGACAGAAGAAGCCCCGGCUAACUCCGUGCCAGCCGCCGCGGUAAUAC